GGGGACUGAGAAGGAACAGCAGGCAAGAGAAAGAGGGCUAAGGGAGAGCCAUGACCUACAAUCAGGUCAAGAAGCAUUUCUACAGGAGAGAUUUAUGCUGCCGAUCUUCCAAUAGAUCAAGUAGCGUGGAGACCACUGAGACCCAGCCACUGGAGACCAUUAGCCUAGGGAGGUCAUUGGUGUCCUUGCCAAGCCCUGUUUUGGUUCUGGGUCCAGGAGACAGAGUGUAGUCAGAGGAGAGGAAUCACAGACAGCCCAGUGCAGACAACAGGCAACUCUUUCAAGGAGUCAUCUUAUAAAGAGGCUGAAAGCUCCAUGGUUUUUUGGUCCCUGCAGCAACUAGAACAGUACCUGGCAGACACAAGACACGUAAUACAUAUUUUUGAAUGAGGAACUUGGCUCCAGAAGCCAUGAGAAUAACUUUGUUCCAACACAUUCAGGCUGCGGUCAGAAAGGGUGAGCUGGAAGCAGUGAGCUGGGAGAUAAUGAAACCAAAACACCAUUAUCAGGAAGCUUGAGAACAAGGCCACCUUUUAAGUAUCUAGAAAUUCCCAUUAAUUUCUUCCACACCUUGUUCCCCAUCCCACCUGAAGACUGAAGCUGAGAGGCUUUUUUCCCAGUCAUCUUGACCACAAGAUCAGUUCUCUCCGUGAACAUAAAGACAAAAUCGCUGUGACACCAACAGACAGAUUUUUUAACAAGUGGAAUCCAUGUCUCAUGUAAACAAUGUGCUACUGCCUGCCAUUGAGUUCUCUUCCCUCGUUUUCCUUUUUGAAGACUUAACCCCUUUCCCAAAGGGACAUGUGCUCAGGUUUCUUGACUCCACAGCAAUCCCUUCUGUUGUGUAAGGCAAACUGAUCACCUUUCACAACGAGACAAGAAGUGAUUUAAAUCAGAUGGUGACCCAAUGACAAUGUCUGUGCUGUGUCCUAUGGAGAAAACCAAAGCUGAAAUCCAGUAACAGGUGAUAGGAAGAUGUGGAGAUAGAAACUGACCUGAAUUCUGAAAAACAACAAGAGAAAAGGAAGUCUGAGAACAAGCUGGUGUUCUUCCAAAACCUGUUCAUUGUGUGAAUUCCUAGAAGAUAGCGUGACACCGAGAAACAGGCUGGAGUGACACACCCAAACAAUUAUGCUACCUGGAUCUGCCAAGGCAGGAGGACAAACUCAGCAGCCUGGAGAAUGGAGGACACAGUCCAGAGUUGCAACAACAGCAGCAAUUACUUUUGACCACUCACUAUCGGAAAACACUGCUUUAGGCUGUGGAAAUGCAGUAGUAGAAAAGCCAGGCAUAAUCCUUAUCCCCAUGGAGGCACUAUCUCCAUCCAAGGGCAGAGGACCUGCAAGCCCUGAGGUCUCCAGCUGAGGUUCCUCUCUGAAGGACAGUUGCACUUCAGGUCAUGCUGCAGUAUGAGAGAAGGCAGCGUGACAUCUUGAGUUUCUAAUGCUCACACCUGUCUCAGUGAAGCAUUUUUACAGAGUAAUCACCACCCCCCUCACACCCCCAACAAUGUCAUCAAGUCAUAAAUCUCCUUGGUUUGAAAUAUUGGAUUAAAAUAUGAUUAAACAAUAUGUCUCAAUGGAAAGUUAAGAUAUGUGUGCAUUCUCUAUCCUCAAACAAUCCUGGAAUGCCCCCCCCCCCACUUUAUGAUUUUUUAUGAUUUGCCUAUCAGAAAUCUAUGCUAAAACUCUUAAAGAGUUUAGUUCUUAGAUUUGUAAGAGUAAGAGCAUGUAAGAAAUUAUUCUUUGACAGUUCUCAUUGCUAGCAACAAAGUUUUUAGGUUCCAAAGAGGUAUUUACUUAGAAACUAAAUAGUGUGAACCAUUAGCGCAGAAGAUGGUGCAGUAGAACAAAUGGGGAUGAGGUAUGAGGAGAGCCAAAUGCUAAUCCUGGUGUGUCACUGAUGUGACUUGGACACUGCCACCCCUCUGGACCUCUGCUUCCUCUUAGGGAAGAAGUGCUCUGUGGGGGUUCUCUGAGGUUACUCCUACAGUUCAUGUUCUAUGAGCCUGGAAAGAGCAAAAAUGUCUCAUAUAUACUACGUAAUGUUGUCUAAGUGGUACAUAGCAGAU
rnacentral:lncRNA from 1 species